rnacentral:rRNA from 1 species
GACGAACGCUGACGGCGUGCUUAACACAUGCAAGUCGAACGGUGAAGCGAGUGCUUGCACUCGUGGAUCAGUGGCGAACGGGUGAGUAACACGUGAGUAACCUGCCCAUCACUCUGGGAUAAGCACUGGAAACGGUGUCUAAUACUGGAUACGACCAACCCUUGCAUGGGGUGUUGGUGGAAAGAUUUAUCGGUGAUGGAUGGACUCGCGGCCUAUCAGCUUGUUGGCGGGGUAAUGGCCCACCAAGGCGACGACGGGUAGCCGGCCUGAGAGGGUGACCGGCCACACUGGGACUGAGACACGGCCCAGACUCCUACGGGAGGCAGCAGUGGGGAAUAUUGCACAAUGGGCGAAAGCCUGAUGCAGCGACGCCGCGUGAGGGAUGACGGCCUUCGGGUUGUAAACCUCUUUCAGCAGGGAAGAAGCGAAAGUGACGGUACCUGCAGAAGAAGCACCGGCUAACUACGUG